AUGAAGUUACUUCCGGGUAACUGCAAAGGCUACAACUCUAUGUACUGUUUCGGCCCGCCUCUAGCAAGUUCUGCGCGUGCGUUAACCAUGAAGUGCGAUAGAAUCAGUGUUAUUUUCGGAUGCACAUUUGGAUUUAAUAGCCUUCUCUUCAUAGACGUCAUGGCUGGUUUCGGAGCUCUGGGAUUCCCUAACUGCGUGGGAGCUCUGGACGGAACCCACAUAUGUGUGCUUACGCCAGUGCACCAGGCUCAGGACUUCAUAAACGGGAAGAAUUACUUCUCCGUCACACUGCAAGCUGUGGUGGAUUCCAGGGGCCGGAUUUGGAACUGUGAAAUGGGGUUCUCUGGUAAAAUGCACAACGCACACGUGCUGAGAAACACCGUCCUAUACCCAGCUAUGGAAGCUGGAGCAUUGAUUCCGGAGAGCCCCACUAUGUGGCUGCAUGGCGUGACCAUACCCCCUGUGAACAAUUCUUGCUAAGUACUUGGNUGCAUUGUGUCUUUUCUCUCUCCCACUUCCUUUGAUGGGGGUUACGGUGGCUAAGCUGGGAAGCAGGAGUUGGCCAGGCCAAGGUUUGCUUGGCAGGCGGUGUGUUGGGACCAAUGCUGACUGCAGCAGUGACUGCCAUGCCNCUGUGAACAGGAAGAUGGGCUGCAGCUGGACGCAGGGUUACCCAUGCACAUGAAGCUCNUGGUGGGNCGUCAGGNCCUGUUGCAAGUGUGCCACAUGGUGGGAUAUGGGUUACUGUGGCUACUGCUUUCUGCUGCUGGGUGAACUGUUGUNGGCGCAGGGAGAAUNUCAUUGUAGGCCCCGGUGUGAGUUCACACAGUGUUGUACCCAUUCCUUCCGGUCAUUUCCAUCCAGAAUUAAACUUCCAAACCUGCAUCUGCUAUUGGCUUCUUGCAAAUGGGUUUUGCAGGCAUCCUCUGUGCCUUUCAAACCUGGUGGAAAUANCUAGGCAUCCAUCCUAGUAGCCUUUGAUACACCUAACCUCUGUGACUCUGCCCAGUCCUUUCUCAAAGCAAACUCGGCUGGUGGCUGCCACUCCCAACCUAUGUGCAUUUGACCUCUCUGUGACCUCUGAGUACUGGCUGUUCNUUUCCUUAUGGCAGGUAUGCCUUUCUAUUGUAUCCACGUGGGUCUGAGCGGAAAAUGUUUGGCAAUGCAGCAUCUGCCAGUAUUAGUUGGCNGGAUUGCCGGAGCAGAUUUUAGACGUNUCCGAAGGUCUCCGGUGCUGCUGCCGGUAGAAGAAAGUGGCCUCCUCUUUCACAACCUUUGGAGCGCAGACNGCUGCUGCUGGGAAGUCUCCCUUCCAUCCCUGACACCUAGGCUCCCAUUGACAUGCAGAUGAAGGGGGGGAGGGUUGUUGCAGGAGNAAGCCUAGGCNGAGGAAGGUAAGGUUGGCNCUNGGCGCUGGGCCCACAGUGUCCUGCAGCACUGCGCAUAGCAACAGUGGGUCUGUGGGAGAGGGGCAGGAUAG
ensembl:lncRNA